AAUUAAAUUAGAAUUAUUUCUCAUCUCUUUAGACACUAAUAUAAGAGUUUAUUUAGUUCGCCAAUAAAAUCAAAAUAAAAUUCAUUAAUUCUUAUAGUGGUUGUUUGUUUAAUAAAAAAUCGAAUUUCGAUUCUCAUUCCAUUCUCAGAUGAAAAUGUUUCAAUCUAUCUAUGAUUCAAUCCAAUUUUAAAUUUUGAAAUGAUUUAUUCCAAAUAAACAGCUUGAAAUUCUUUCUUACAAAUAGCUCUUCCGCCUCUCCCUUCACCACUUUCUCUCUCUCUCUCUCUCUCUCUCUCAACUAAAACUCUAUUUUAAACUCCAAGAUGUCCAUUCCUAAUUAUCGAAAAUUAUUUGAUUCAUUAUUAAAUUUCUUAAUAAUAAAUUAAAUAUUUUUAUAUAAUUCAUCACAUUAUUUCUAUUUCAACACGAUAUAAUUCUUAUUUUUAUUUUUAUUUUAAUAUGAGCCAAAUAUCUCUUAAAUAUAUUUUUAUUUUCUGGAUGGACAUGUGAGUUGACUGACUUCUACCGAAUUAUUUUGAGCAGUAGUACAAACUAAAUUGAGGGCCUGUUUGGCCUAGCUUCUCGAGAAGUGAUUUCUGUAAAAGUGAUUUUGGUUUUGAGAAGUAAUUUUGGUGAAAAGUUGUAGAGCGUUUGGUUGAAUUUAGAAAAAAGUGAUUUUUCUUAAGUGAUUUUCUAAAACUGUUUGGCAAAAAAAUUUUCAUAUUUGCAUAUAUUAAUAUUUUUACUAAAUUUUAUUUUUAAAAUAAUUUAAAAUUUAAAUUUAAAUUAAAAAUUUAAAUUUAAUUAAAAGUAUAAUUUUUAAGUUUCAAACUUGUACAAAAAUAAAUUUGAAAUUUCAAAAUUUAAAAUUUAUAACUUGAAUUUUAAAAUUAAAAUUUAAAAUUUAAAAUUUAAAAUUUAAAAUUUAAAUUUCAAAUUUCAAAUUUCAAAUUUAAAUUUUCAAAUUUAAAUAUCAAAAAUUAAAAUUAAAAUUUAAAAUUUAAAAUUCAAAUUUUUAAUUUUGAAAUUAAAAUUAAAAUUAAAAUUAAAAUUAAAAUUAAAAUUAAAAUUAAAAUUAAAAUUAA
rnacentral:lncRNA from 1 species